UACGGCAUUGUGUUAGACGUAAUGGCUUCCAUCGAUGGCCGUUUUUUGAGUAAAAUAGAUAGCUGUGCUCGUUUCGUCGAAUUCUGGGAUUUCAAAAAACAAACAAACGAGUUUUAUGUGCACUGAACAUGAUAUGUUUAGUUUUUACGUGCUCAUGCGAUGCGACUAACACCGAAAACACGACAUUCUGUCUCCUAAAUCCAACGUAUUUUUGAACUGCGAAGAGUAUCGUACAUCUUACAAUUGAAAUUGUGAUUCCCCAGUAUCGAUCUUACAUUUUUCAUGAAUCCAACCAUUCUAAUAUUAAAGAUUAACUGACUAACAAUAUGCACCAUUGUAGAUUUUGAUUGGAUGAGUGCUAUAUAAUACAAAUAUACAGCAACAUGAAAUUCUGUGACUCGUAAUAUUGAAAGGCCGAAACUUAAAACACGAUAGUGUGAUGGCAACGACUGAAGAUGGAACCAUAUCCACUGAGGAGGUAGUUGUGGUGAAGCCUGAUGGUGAAAGAAACAUCGAGGAUCUGAAUAAUACCCAGGUCAUCAUCCAGCUCCAGUCCAAUACUGCACGAGAAGAAUUUGAUGGAACGCCUAUGUCAGGCAUGGCAGAUGAAGAACAUCCAGAAGAGACUGAGGGAGGUGAUGUUGAAAUUGGCUGUCCGAUAACAUGCGGUGACAGUCAAGCAACAUUACUAGUGAAGAAAUUUGUAUGCCCAGGAAUCAAUGUAAAAUGUGUAAAGUAUGACGAUCAGCUGAUCAGUCCAAAGCAGUUUGUACAUAUUUCUGGAAAGGCCACUCUGAAAGACUGGAAACGAGCAAUCCGGAUGGGUGGAGUCAUGCUAAGAAAGAUUAUGGAUUCAGGCCAGCUUGACUUCUAUCAACACACUACAUUGUGUACAAACACUUGCCGUAGCACCAAGUUUGACCUGUUAAUCAACAACACACGGUUCCCACCAGACAACAGUGGACUCUCAUCUGCGUCUUCUCAAGCUCAGGAGUCAUUUGGUAAUGGCAAGACAGUAGGAGAGACAGAGAGACCAAGUGAAAAGGCGGACUGGAGCUCAAGGUCGGCAAAAUCUGUAAACAAGGAAUCUCAGGACAUCUCAGAGGAUACGCUAAACUUCUGGAAAGGAAUUGCUGAUGUGGGUUUGCUGGGUGAAGUCGUGACCAAAAUCAGUACUGAGCUGCUGGAUCUGCUGAACAGCUUGCAUUUGCUGAAGGAGUCAGUUGUCUUGCAGAACACAGAAGUUGCAGUGCUUAGUAACCUUGGCCAGGUGUUUGGACUGCUCAACUCUGUCAAGAAGAUGGUGGUCAAGAGAAGGCUGCAAACUGAUCCUAGCCAGGAGCAAAUACUUGGCAUUCUUUGCAAACUGGAGUUGCAGUUGGCAGAACAACGAAAGCAGCAACAGAUUCAAGCUCUCCUGUCAUGCCCACACCCUGCCAAAACCAUUACUACCGUCAAACGGCAGACAAAGCGACCUCGGUUGCAGAGGCCUGUUACUACCAAUACACUCCUGACCUCCAGCAUCAACCAUCAGCCUUCCCUGACACCUCAACUGUUCACCCUUCUGUCCCCAAUCUCAUUACCCUCCUUUGGUCAGCCAUUUACUGUGGCAGGCCUGCCAAUCACGUCCCUAGCCCAGUCAUCGAACACUGUCACUCUGCUCCCCACCGGCUCACAGCUCUUCACACAAUACAUGGUGACCGAAGAUGGAAAGGCUGACAGCAUUACCUUGCACACAUCUUCCAACCUCACAUUGGUGAAUACUAGUCCCAUGCAUGACUCAAGCCAGUUUGGUUCAAUGGUCAAACCUGUAGAGCUGCUACACCUUAGCCAGCCAGAUGUGUGUGCAGAAGCAGUACCCAUAGAGGCACAGGUGCUGGAUGGCGCCAUGUUGGUGCAACAGGAGUCAAUGCAGGGAGAAGACGUAGAGCCCAGCCAAGAGCACACAGUCAUUGAGAUCAGCCCAUGUUCAGGAGAAGGUGUUGGAGUCAUGGUGCAACAGCAGACUGGUGAGUCAGCUAGAGAUAAGGCUGGAUUGGUUCAGAGGAGAAUGGAGGUCACAAUUGCAGAAGAGCAGGAGGCACAGAAACGGGAGGUUCAGGAGCUGGAGCUGGGUGCCAAUGGACAUGUACCUGCUGUACAGAUUGCGGUGGUAAAAGAAAAUACUCAGGAAGAAAGACUACCAAGUUAAAUAAGACACACUUAUCCAUCACGAUCACGUCAUCUGCAAACAUCGUGGUCCACGGGGAUUCCAGUCUAACCUCAUCUGUCAGCCUAUCCAUCACCACUGCAAACAGGAAGGGGCUCAGGGCUGAUCCCUGAUUCAGUCCCACCUCCACCUUAAAUCCGUCUGUCACACCUACAGCACACCUCACUGAUGUUCUGCUGCCCUCGUACAUGUCCUGUAUUAUUCCAACAUACUUCUCUGUCACUCCAGACUUCCGCAUGCAGUACCACAGUUCCUCUCUGGGUACUCUGUCAUAGGCUUUCUCUCCAUCUGCAAAGACACAAGAAGAUACACCAAGUACUCUCCUGCCUGCCUCUCAGAUCACCUUGGCUGCAGUGGUCCAGUCUUCUGGAAGCUCCUCCCGGCCACCAAGAGCCUGUCUCACCUCUUCCCGAAAAGCUGCACAACACUCGUCCUGUCUCAGCUUCCACCAUAUAGUUCUCUGCUCUGCCUUUGUCUUCCUAAUCUUCCUCCCCACCACCGGAGUCAUCUUACACACCACCAUCCCAUGCUGUCAAGCCACACUCUCCCCUACCACUACCUUACAGUCGGUAACCUCCUUCAGAUUACAUCGGCUGCACAAGAUGUAAUCCACCUGCGUGGUUCUACCCCCGCUCUUGUAGGUCACCCUAAGUUCCUGCCUCUUCUGGGAAAAAAAAAAAGUGUUCACUACAGCCAUUUGUAUCCUUGUUGCAAAGUCUACCACCAUCUGUCCCUCCAAGUUCCUUUCCUGGAUGCCGUACUUACCCAUCACUUCUUCCUCACCCCUAUUUCCUUCACCAACAUGUCCAUUACAAUCUGCACCAACUACGACUCUCUCUCUGUCUGGGAUGCUCAGAACUACUUCGUCUAGCUCCUUCCAGAAUUUCUCUUUCACCUCUAGGUCACAUCCUACCUGUGGGGCAUAGCCACUAAUCACAUUACACAUAACACCCUCAAUUUCAAGUUUCAGCCUUAUCACUCGAUCUGAUACUCUUUUCACCUCCAAGACAUUCUUAGCCAACUCUUCUUUUAAAAUAACCCCGACGCCAUUUCUCUUCCCAUCUACACUUUGGUAAAAUAAUUGAAACCCCCUGCCCCUAAACUUCUAGCCUUACUGCUUUUCCACCUGGUCUCCUGGACACACAAUAUAUCAACCUUUCUCCUAAUCAUCAUAUCAACCAACUCCCGAGAGUUUCCUGUCAUAGUCCCAACAUUCAAAGUCCCCACAUUCAGUUCUAGGCUCUGUGCUUUCCUCUUCUCUUUCUGCCAAAGAACCCGCUUUCCAACUCUUCUUCUUCUUCGACUUUGACCCACAGUAGCUGAAUUUCCAACGGCACCCUGCAGGUUGACGGCGCCGGUGGCGGACGUUGUGAACCCGGGCCACGACCGAUCCGGUAUGGAAUUCUUUGGAUGAACGCUCAUAUUUUUUUGGCAAAGUUUUAAGCCGGAUGCCUUUCCUGACGCAACCCUCUGCAUUUAUCCGGGCUUGGGACCGGCCUAGAGUUUGCACUGGCUUGUGCCCCCCAUAGGGCUCCAUUAUCCCCCGGGCAGGAAAUAUAGUAUAAUAAAGUUAGUGGUAAAAAGAGAACAACGAUAAGUCGCUGCCCAGGUUUAGCCUGGUGGCCUUCCAAAACUCUGUUACCCGGUUCUUUUAUUCUGGUCGAGGUGAUUCUUCAAUGAUUAGGCCGAAUAAAAAGUUUAACAAUUUAUUUGAAAAUACAGUCAAACAACAAGGUUGGUGAAGGUUCAGCGCUGGGCUCUCCCGCACAUGGUUCAGAACAGCGUCCAUAGGAAAGAGACCGCAGAAGCGUUCGUCCGAUUGUUUUGUGGCCAAAGCUGCUUCCUGUCAUGAUGCCAUGCAAUCUCGGACCAAUCCUAGCUCCGCCUUGGUGUCUGGGUGCGUUCGGUACCUCAGUCCGAUACUCUCACUGGGCCCUGACUUUGUGGUACUUGGAGACAGAGCGCGCUCCAUUUUCUAUAGCGGUACUAAUGAGCGUGUUGGCUAUUGGUAAGGAUACGUCAGUACAUCCGCCAUAUUGAAUGUGUCAGUUCUUCUCGUAUCGAACCGCACACUCAAACAACGCUCUGUUACCGAAGGUUCCGGGGUGCAGAGAGCGUGCCCGUAGUGAAUUUCCCAGCGCACCCUGUGUUGAUAUUUUGUGUUUGUUGUCGGUGCGACUACGUGUAAUGCAACUCUAUGUUUAUAAGGAGAUCUGGGUGUGUAUCUGUAAUGGGAUGUAUCAGGCAAAAGUAUGUAUGCAGUGUUGUGUAAGCGUGCAGCCAAUAAUUUCAAUCAAUAAUGUCUUUUGUCAAAGGUAUCACGCGCUAUCAAAUCUGGCAGCUUAAAGGGUCAGGCACGGUCAUCCGCAGACAGGAAACAUCGUAUAAUAUUGUCUCUUGUAAAACAAUAAAAGUAUCGACAGGAAGUGGAUCUGUGGUGCGGCCAACACAAUCUGGACCUGAACAUGCUCAAGACUGGAGAGAUGAUCGUGGACUUCAGGAGACAUCCUUCACUACAGCACCCCCUCACGCUGUCCAAUAGCCCUGUGUCAACUAUCGAGACCUUCAAGUUCCUGGGAAUUAGUCUCUCAGGACCUGAAGUGGGAGAUCAACAUCAACUCCAUUCUCAAAAAGGCCCAGCACAGUAUGUACUUCUUCUGAGGAAGCAUGGCCUGCAACAGGAGCUGUUGAGGCAGUUCUACACAGCAGUCCUCGAAUCAGUCCUGUGUUCAUCCAUCACAGUGCCCCUACCAACCCUUGGCGAUUUGCAUGCUGCCAGAACUAAGACAAGAGAAUGCAUAAUCAUCUUGGAACCUCCAUAUCCUGGUCACCACCUCUUCCAGCUCCUUCCUUCAGGGAGGCGCUAUCGAUCAAUGCAAACUAAAACUAGCAGACAUUCCAACAGCUUCUUCCCUCUUGCCAUAAACUUCUUAAACAGUUAACUUACAAUUCCAUUGUAACAUGCUGCCAAUUUUGUCUUGAGAUUGUCGUCGCAUCUCUGUCGAGCCAAUUAUACAGUGGGUACGGAAAGUAUUCAGACCCCCUUAAAAUGUUCACUCUUUUUUAUAUUGCUAAAAUCAUUUAAGUUAAUUUUUAUUCCACAUUAACGUACACGCAGCACCCCAUUGACAGGAAAAAAACAUAAUUCUGGAAAUUUUUUGCAGGUUUAUUAAAAAUGAAAAACUUAACUAUCACACAGCCAUAAGUAUUCAGACCCUUUGCACAGUAUUGCUGAAAUGAUGCAACAAGUUUUUCACACCUGGAUUUGGGGAUCGUCUGCCAUUCCUCCUUGCAGAUCCUCUCCAGUUCUGUCAGGUUGGAUGGUGAACGUUGGUGGGCAGCCAUUUUCAGGUCUUUCUAGAGAUGCUCAAUUGGGUUUAAGUCAGGGCUCUGGCUGGGCCAUUCAAAAACAGUCAUAGAGUUGUUCUGAAGCCACUCCUUCAGUAUUUUAGCUGUGUGCUUCAGGUCAUUGUCUUUUUUGAAGGUGAACCUUCGGCCCAGUCUGAGGUUCUGAGCACUCUGGAGAGGGGUUUUCUUGUACUUGGCUGCAUUCAUCUUUUCUUUGAUUUCAACCAGUCUCCCUGUCCCUGCAGCUGAAAAACACACCCACAACAUGAUUUUGCCACCACCAUGCUUCACUGUUGGGACUGUAUUGGACAGGUGAUGAGCAGUGCCUGGUUUUCUCCACACAUGCCACUUAGAAUUAAGGCCAACAAUUUCUAUCUUGAUCUCAUCAGACCAGAUAAUCUUUUUUUCUCAACCAUCUUGGAGUCCUUCAGGUAUUUUUUUAUCAAACUCCAGGCGGGGUUUCAUGUGUCUUGCACUGAGGAGAGGCUUCCAUCGGACCACUCUGCCAUAAAGUCCCGACUGGUGGAGGCCGCCACCCUCCCCCCCUUCCUUUUUCCGUUGUCCUGCAGGGACCUACGCGAGGAUCCUGUUCGUGGACUUCAGCUCAGCGUUCAACACCAUCAUCCCUGAACUCCUUUCAUCCAAGCUUCUCCAGCUCAGCAUCUCACCAGCCAUGUGCCAGUGGAUUUACAGCUUUCUGAUGGGCAGGCCACCUCAUCCACACGCAGCAUCAGCACUGGGACGCCCCAAGGUUGUGUCCUCUCUCCGCUCUCUACACGAACGACUGCACCUCAGCGCACCCGACUGUCAAACUCCUGAAGUUUGCAGAUGACACCACUGUCAUCGGCAUCAUCAAGGACAGUGACGAGUCUGCAUAUCGACAGGAAGCGGAGCAGCUAGAGCUGCGGUGCGGCCGACACAACCUGGAGCUGAACACGCUCAAGACUGUAGAGAUGAUCGUGGACUUCAGGAGGCAUCCUUUGCCACAGCUGCCCCUCACGUUGUCCAGCUGCCUUGUGUCAACCGUCGAGACCUUCAAGUUCCUGGGAAUUACAGUCUCUCAGGACCUGAAGUGGGCGACCAACAUCAACUCCUUCCUCAAAAAGGCUCAGCAGAGGAUGUACUUCCUGCGGCUGCUGAGGAAGCACGGCCUGCCACAGGAGCAGCUGAGGCAGUUCUACACAGCGGUCAUCGAAUCAGUCCUGUGUUCUUCCAUCACAGUCUGGUUUGGUGCUGCUACAAAAAAGGGCAAACUCCGACUGCAACGGACAAUCAAAACUGCUGAAAGGAUUGUUGGUACCCCCCUACCCACCAUUGACGACUUGCACGCUGCCAGAACUAAGACAAGGGAGUGCAAAAUCCUCUCCGACCCUCCGCACCCCGGUCACCAGCUCUUCCAGCUCCUUUCCUCAGGUAGGCGCUACCGAUCAAUGCAAACUAGAACUAGUAGACAUUCCAACAGCUUCUUCCCUCUUGCGAUCAACUUCUCAAACACCUGACCUACAAUUCCAUUACAACAUGCUGGCAAUUUUUUGACUUGAGUUCGUUGUCACAUUUCUGUGGGGCCAAUUAAGUAUUACUCGUGCACUCACUGUAAUUGUCUCGCCAUGCUGCACUAUUUGCAUAUACUGGCCACUCAUGCCAGAGUAGCAUCUGCUCCAUUGCACACUGUUUGAGGAGUAUCUGUAACAUUUGCACAACCAUUGUCCCAGAUUAUCGCACUACUCGUCACUUUAAACCGCAUACACUCCUUAAAGUCUCAGCGCCCUUUGCACAAUGGUCAUUGCAAUGGACUGUUGCAAUAUUAUGCUCUAAGUGCUCGAGGACUCUGCAUCUUUUUGCACAAUUGUCAAAAAACAAA